GCAAGUCAAGGAGAAAAAUUUCUUCGGAAAUUAAGUAAACUGGCGGACGGGUGAGUAACGCGUAGGUAAUUUGCCUCAUAGAUAGGGAUAACGUUUGGAAACAGACGCUAAUACCUUAUAAUGUUAAAAAUCUUAUGUUUUUUAACCAAAGAGGGCUUCGGCUCUUGCUGUGAGAUAAGCCUGCGUCUGAUUAGCUUGAUGGUAAGGUAACGGCUUACCAUGGCUACAAUCAGUAGCUGGUCUGAGAGGAUGAUCAGCCACACUGGGACUGAGAUACGGCCCAGACUCCUACGGGAGGCAGCAGUGGGGAAUUUUGCGCAAUGGGCGAAAGCUUGACGCAGCAACGCCGCGUGAUCGAAGAAGGACUUAGGUUCGUAAAGAUCUGUCGUAAGGGAAGAAUAAUCAAUAUUCUAACACAAUAUUGAUCUGACGGUACCUUACAAGAAAGCUCCGGCUAACUUCGUGCCAGCAGCCGCGGUAAUACGAGGGGAGCAAGCGUUGUUCGGAUUUAUUGGGCGUAAAGGGCUCGUAGGCGGAUUGAUCAGUCAAAAUUUAAAUCCAAUGGCUUAACCAUUGACCUGGUUUUGAUACUAUCAAUCUUGAGUUAUAUAGAGGUAAGCGGAAUUCCUGGUGUAGCGGUGAAAUGCGUAGAUAUCAGGAGGAACACCAAAGGCGAAGGCAGCUUACUGGAUAUCAACUGACGCUGAGGAGCGAAAGCGUGGGUAGCAAACAGGAUUAGAGACCCUGGUAGUCCACGCCGUAAACGAUGAGCACUUGGUGGUGGAGGAUUCGACCCCUUCACUGUCGUAGCUAACGCGUUAAGUGCUCCGCCUGGGGACUACGACCGCAAGGUUGAAACUCAAAGAAAUUGACGGGGACCCGCACAAGCGGUGGAUUAUGUGGUUUAAUUCGAUGCAACGCGAAGAACCUUACCUGGAUUUGACAUAUUUUUGAAAGCUC
rnacentral:rRNA from 1 species